CCACCUACCUGGCCGCGUUGUCCUAAGCGCUGGAGAGACACAGCCCUGCAAAGGAAUUCGUGGAAGUCUUGCAUCCAUUUUAGAAGGCGCGUAAAAUGAGACGACUGAGGGUAAGGGAAACGGGGAGACGUCAUCCAAGCUGCACGCAUCUGGUUUUGAUUGGGGCCGUAUUUUUAUGUUCAUCGUGCAGCUUUCGUUUUGCAAGGCUCUGGUGGCUGAAGGCAUGUCGGGGAUGCAGCUCUGUUCCCCACGGGCCGCGUACCGGCUGCCAUCCCUGAGACCGUGUCCCGUGCUUUUAUGAAAACGACAGCAAAGCCCCGUCGCCUCGUGUUUGCAGAGCCUUGAACAAAUCCUUUGUCGUGGUGCCCCCGCGUUUGGGGUGGCGAAGGGUUCAGGGUCUUAGUCGGGAAGGAUGGGGCUUGGAGGAACGCCAGGAUCACCCCCCACACACCCGCCCCAGGCGCUGUUCGGUAGGUUGAGCCCGGUUCAUCACAACGGCUGCUCAAAAGGCCCGGAAGACACACAAAGCACAGACUUGAAAGGAGAAGGUGGUGCUGUCGGUGGGGAUGAGCCUGGAAAGUUGUGUUUUUCACUGUGCGUUAUUUCCGUGAUGAGCUGUUGAUGGAACGUGCAUCGUGACCUGAGCGGACCACGAACGAAGCCACCUGAUCCCCCUCUCGUGGAAGAAAUGAUUCGUGUUCACCGGAGACUUGCCUGUGUGCACCCGAAUCAUCCCCAGCCUUGAUGAGAUCUCCACCAUGCUCGUCGCCGUCCAUGAGUCACGGUUAUUUUGUUGUUGGUGCUGGUGGAGGCCCCCGGGUGGAUGAGGGGAUGAGGUCAGCGUUCAUGGGGACUGAUGCUCCCGCUCCUUCCGUCCGCUGCUCAAGGACACACGUCCCGCUCCAUCUCCCUUCCUCUGACGUGGACACUUGCCUUCGGCAAUCCCAGCAGGACGGGGGCCCGUGAGAGCAAACGCUCUCCGUGCAUUUCCUCCGCACUCGGGAGAGACUCUGCUCCAUGCAGAAGGUCAAGCAGCCCGUGAUGCCCCUCCUGGGCCCUGCACACACACACACACACACACACACACACUGUCCCCGUUUUCAGCUCCUCCUGAUGCUGCAUCUUCUCCAGGUCCCGCCAGCUACUUGGGAGGCGACCUGCGUUUUUCACUCUGGCUAUUGGAAGACGUUCUCCUCCUUGUGUUUGGACGCCCACCGCCGUGUUCCUCAGAUGCAGCUUGGUUAUGUGUUUACGUUUCGUACCACGCAUUUUGAGUCGGAGAAGGAAAGUAUUUUCCAUGAACCUUGGAAAACGAGCCGUCGUUGUUUCUUCAGAUAUGACUCAGCCCUAGCUUUCCAAAAACACUCCUUCCUCCCCGGCGUGUUGGGAACGUGUUGUCCUUUGCUCCGUGACUUUUAAACUUGUCGUAUUUAGCAUUUUGUCUUUACUUCCCGGAGCUCAGAAUGAACCCCCCUGGCUUCCCCAUUGCUUUUUUUGUUUUGCUUUGUUUUAAUGAGUUCUUGGGGUUAUUUCAACAAAUAGAUGUACAUACACGUGCAUGUGUUUACAUAUGUGUGCACAUGCAUGCAUGCAAAAUUCGUGUGUAUAUACAUGUCUGUGUGUAUGUGUACAUGCAUCCGUAUACACAUAGAUCUAUGUUUAUAUACAUAUAUACGUACAAAUAUAUUUUAUUCUUUCUGAA